GGUUCCGUGGCUCACUGGUUAGAGCCCACACCUCUUCAAAGAGGUCAUGGGUUCGAAUCCAGUCGAGAUCG